CGCGUAGGCGGGCGGCCGCGUCCGGGGUGAAAUCCUCCCGCUCAACGGGAGAACGGCCUCGGAUACGGGCGGCCUCGAGGGGGGUAGGGGCAUCUGGAACUGUGAGUGGGGCGGUGAAAUGCGUUGAUAUUCACAGGAACUCCGGUGGCGAAGGCGAGGUGCUGGACCCCAUCUGACGCUGAGGCGCGAAAGCCAGGGGAGCGAACG
rnacentral:rRNA from 1 species